UACGGAGGGUGCGAGCGUUAAUCGGAAUCACUGGGCGUAAAGCGCGCGUAGGCGGCUAUGUAAGUCAGGCGUGAAAGCCCUCGGCUCAACCGGGGAACUGCGUUUGAAACUGCAUGGCUUGAGUUCGGGAGAGGGUAGCGGAAUUCCGGGUGUAGGAGUGAAAUCCGUAGAUAUCCGGAGGAACACCGGUGGCGAAGGCGGCUACCUGGACCGAUACUGACGCUGAGGUGCGAAAGCGUGGGGAGCAAAC
rnacentral:rRNA from 1 species